UUGUUGAUAUUUUUCAAUUUCUAGAUAAAUUUUUUUACACAUAUGGAUUGUGAAUGUUUGAAUGACGUAUUAAUGUUGAAUUUAAAAUGAGGCUGAUGAUGAUUUUAGAUCUUUGCCUACUUGAUGCACCCUCCAUUUGAAGCUUGAGUCGAUGAGCUGUGCAGCUAAAAACAUUUAAACUUAAUUGAAUAAAUAUAGACCAAAUGAUUCGAAUAUUUAAAUUUUAUUUUUAAUAAUGUUGCAAGUAUAAUGAUGAAAUGCGGAAGAAUUAAAUGAUUGUAGUGUAAAAAUAAUGUAAUUUUUUUAACGCUUGAAUUAUGAUAUUUAAUUAUAAUCGAAACAAGUGGAAAAAAAAACUACAAGUUUUAAGAGACUAGGUGUGAUUAUAUGGAUGAAUAUUUAUUUGCAAAAUAUUUAAGUGUUUUUUGAUGGAAGAUGUAAUGGAGUGAAUAAGGAAAUGGACACACAUCGAGAGAUUUGGGUCAU